rnacentral:rRNA from 1 species
UGCUUGGGAAUUUGCCUUUAGGUGGGGACAACAGUUGGAACGACUGCUAAUACCGCAUAUUGUCUACGGACUAAAGAGGGCUUCGGCUCUCGCCUUUAGAGGAGCCCAAGUGGGAUUAGAUAGUUGGUGAGGUAAUGGCUCACCAAGUCAGCGAUCCCUAGCUGGUCUGAGAGGAUGAUCAGCCACACUGGAACUGAGACACGGUCCAGACUCCUACGGGAGGCAGCAGUGGGGAAUAUUGGACAAUGGGGGCAACCCUGAUCCAGCCAUGCCGCGUGUGUGAAGAAGGCCUUUUGGUUG